GUGGUAGCAUAGUGGUUAAGAGGUAGGGUCAGUAACUGGGUGGUAGUCUAGAGGUUAAGCGGUAGGGUCAGUAACUGGGUGGUUAAGAGGUAGGGUCAGUAACUGGAUGGUAGCCUAGUGGUUAAGAGGUAGGGUCAGUAACUGGGUGGUAGUCUAGUGGUUAAGAGGUAGGGUCAGUAACUGGGUGGUAGUCUAGAGGUUAAGAGGUGGGGUCAGUAAUAGGGUGGUAGUCUAGUGGUUAAGAGGUAGGGUCAGUAACUGGGUGGUUAAGAGGUGGGGUCAGUAACUGGGUGGUUAAGAGGUAGGGUCAGUAACUGGGUGGUUAAGAGGUAGGGUCAGUAACUGGGUGAUAGUCUAGUGGUUAAGCGGUAGGGUCAGUAACUGGGUGGUAGUCUGGUGGUUAAGAGGUAGGGUCAGUAACUGGGUGGUUAAGAGGUAGGGUCAGUAACUGGGUGGUAGUCUAGAGGUUAAGAGGUGGGGUCAGUAACUGGGUGGUAGUCUAGUGGUUAAGAGGUAGGGUCAGUAACUGGGUGGUUAAGAGGUAGGGUCAGUAACUGGGUGGUAGUCUAGUGGUUAAGAUGUAGGGUCAGUAACUGGGUGGUAGUCUAGUGGUUAAGAGGUAGGGUCAGUAACUGGGUGGUAGUCUAGUGGUUAAGAGGUAGGGUCAGUAACUGGGUGGUUAAGAGGUAGGGUCAGUAACUGGGUGGUAGUCUAGUGGUUAAGAGGUAGGGUCAGUAACUGAAAAGGCGCUGGUUCAAUUCCCUGAGCUGUCAAAAAAUGAAUCUGCUGUUUUGCCCAACAACA
ensembl:lncRNA